CCUGCCACGCGGGAGGCCCGGGUUC
rnacentral:piRNA from 4 species